rnacentral:lncRNA from 1 species
CUACCCUCAUGUGGUCUGUCGAAUUCUCCUCACCUCCCGGCCUCCGAGUGUCAGCAAGGCCUGUUGGCAUGGCUGUUCUAUUCACGUCAGCAGAAAAGGAGUCCACAUUCCAGUGGCCUGACUGGCAGUGCUCAACUUUUCAGGCGCUGUGGCAGAGAAAGCUGGACACCAGUGAGAAGCAGGAGAGGAAAGCAAAGAUUUCAUACCACUUUGACCAAACAAAGAGAUGGAUUUUUGCACUUUUCACAUUCCCAGUUUCUCUGUUGGGACUACCUGACCUGGUGUUCCUUUUGAGUUAGUAAGUUAUCUUUGUAUUACUUGGAUAAGGAAUACAAGCUUAAGCUUAAGCUUAAAGCUUAUUUAAACGAGCCUCUAUUUAUUCCAAUCAAAUGGUCCCUGAUAUAGUAACCAUGACCUGUUGCAAGAGCAGUAGCAGCUCUGUGCCGAGGGGAAUCGCUGAAUGGCCAUGCUGCUUCAGACAGGGUUUGAGUUGAAUUCGAUUUAGAGUCACCUCUCCCUACAGGAGAAAACCAUACAGUUCACUAAACCUGACAUCCUUUUAGCAGGGUUUGACCAGCAUCACUGGUAUGUGUUUUAUUCUCUCUUGCUUUUAAAAUUGCAGAAUUUUCAACCUGAUGAUCAAAUCCAGCAUCUUUUUGUGGUAAAUGAGAAAACUGAGAAGCAGAGAGGUUAAUUCCCUUAUUCAGGGCUCGGGAAAUUCCUGGUCUAGAUUUCUUCAUCUGGUCUGUCUCUGUAGGGCCAAUCUGUUGACAGAGAGGUCUUUUAAGUUUUCUUCUCUUGUAAAAAAUCGAAAGGUUCUGCUGCCUGUAAAACCUCCACCUAAGUUUAUGUAUCCAGUUAGAAUCGUGAUCAGUUUCAUAUAACAAAAAGCCAGAGAUAACAAUGGCUUAAACAUAUGAAGACGUGUUAUAUUUUAUCCCACACAAAAUCAAUUCAGAGGUGUGCAGUCCAAGGUGAGUGUGGCUCCAUGGUUUCAGGGAUCCAACUUUCAUCUUUUUUUCUGUUCUUUCCUUCUUAGCAUCCAGCUCCAUCUUCAAGGUCAUCGCAGUGGUCCAAUAUGGUGUUUGGAGUUUCAUCCAUCAAAUCUGAAUUCCAGGAAGCAGAGUGUAGGAAAGGGGAAGAGGCAAAGUGGCACAUCCUAGCUGUCUGUAUUCCCCACCUAAUAGCUUUUGCUUACAGCUUACUGGUCAUAGCUCAGUUAAAUGGCCACUUUAGCACCAAAGGAAGCUGAGGAAUACAUUAUUUUAGCUGGGCACAUUGCCACUCUGAAUAAAAUUGGAGCUCUCUUAUAAAGAAUAAGAGUA